GAUGAACGCUAGCGGCAGGCUUAAUACAUGCAAGUCGAGGGGUAGCAGGUCUGUAGCAAUACAGAUGCUGACGACCGGCAAACGGGUGCGGAACACGUACAGAACCUUCCUUCGAGUGGGAGAUAGCCCAGGGAACUUGGAGUAAUAUCCCAUAGGAUCAUAGAGUGGCAUCACUUAGUGAUUAAAGAUUUAUCGCUUGAAGAUGGCUGUGCGGCUGAUUAGGUAGUUGGUGUAGGUAACGGCUCACCAAGCCUUCGAUCAGUAACUGGUGUGAGAGCACGACCAGUCACACGGGCACUGAGACACGGGCCCGACUCCUACGGGAGGCAGCAGUAAGGAAUAUUGGGCAAUGGAGGCAACUCUGACCCAGCCAUGCCGCGUGGAGGAUGAAGGUCCUCUGGAUUGUAAACUUCUUUUAUUUGGGAAGAAAUGCCGAUUUUCUAAUUGGUUUGACGGUACCAGAUGAAUAAGCACCGGCUAACUCCGUGCCAGCCGCCGCAGUAAAAC
rnacentral:rRNA from 1 species